CCAGGGCGGCUGAGCACCGCAG
rnacentral:misc_RNA from 1 species